rnacentral:lncRNA from 1 species
CGCGUAGAAACUAGUAACUUUUAAUAUGCGAUAGUUAAGUAUGAUUUGUGGAGUUUAAUAAAGUACUAGUAAUUAAGUGUUACGAAAAUAAAAAUUAUAAAGUAGUAAUUAAGAAUAAAAAGAUUUUUGUAACUUCUAUCUCCUCUCUCCUCUCAACUUCUCUCUAACUCUCGAAUCUCGUCGUUGCUCUGUUUAAGCUCCGGCGUCGGCCUCUCUCGCCGGCGUCGGAGGCGCCUCUUAACUUUGUAUCCUCGUUUUCUCUUUGCUAGCUCUUACUCUUCCAGUCCUCGCCGAUAUGCUGCGUUCUCUGGUGUUCUUGUGCCUCCGUCGUCGUCCUGCUCAUGAAGGACACCGGCUUAUGGAGGAUAAGACUUUCUGGAUUUCAAGUGAGGCGGGUAUUCUGUACUAGUGAGGUUAGUCGGCUUUUGGGGUCGGGGUUCGCCGGUUUCGUUUUCUCCUUAGAUCUCCGGCGGGCCUCUGCGAAUGGCGGCGCGUGACUCCGUGUGGCGUCUCCUCUGCCACAGAUCCGUUCUUCAGCAGCGUCUUAUCAUCUCAUCUUGUUUGGUGGAGUGGGGCGGUGGCGCGUGACUAUCACUCCAGCUUGGUGUCUCGCCGGAGUUGACUCACACCGCUAUCUCCCAGGAGGUUUCCGAGUGGGUUAUCCAGAAGGACGCGUCCAGUUUUUGGGGUCUCUUCGCGUGUCGAGUCCUGGACUCUGAGUCCGACGUGUGCGUGUCUUCAGCUACGGCGUUCGAUGGCGUGUCGUCUAUGGCUUCGUCUCUGCCGUUGGUUGGGUUGCUUCCUCCUUGUUCUGCUCUGGUCACGGUGCCCUCGUGUUGCUCUCAUGGCGUGUCGUCGCGAAGGCCGUCGUUGAGUCUCUGGUGUCCUGUCUUUGGCGUCAUCUCCUUGUCCAGGUCACGGUGUUUGGGAUGGCUCCUGUUUGAGUCUGACAGUCUUCUGGUUCUCAGGAGCUGACCAUGGCAAGCUCUACUUAUCUCCUCUUUGUCAUUGGGAGUGUGUGGAUCUUGGUGGUCUCCAUGGUUUUGAGCGUAACUUCCCAGCACUAGGGUUCUAAGAGUUCUAGUGGUUGCUUUCUUCCGGCUCGGAUUCAGGCCCGGACCAGUAACACGUGGUGGUGCAGCGGUUCUUCAGCCCAUUUUUAGGUAACUAUUUCUUUUCUUUUUCAGCUUUCGGAGAUCGAGCUUCAUUGUCUACGAAUAGGCCUCUAGUUGGUGAUUAGGAGGUGAUUCUCUCGAUUCUCCGUGAUGAGGAUUCUGUCGAGAAAGAUCGACCAGUUGAGGAUGGCGGUUCCCCUCGACACUAACGGUUGGACUAGAUUUGUAGUGUCUCUCCUAUACGAUUUGAAGACAGAAGCGUCACGUGGAGCGCACAUCUGUGUGUCGGCGAUUUUUUAGAGAGAAAACGGAUUUGCAGUGGCCGGUUUGACUUAGGUUAAGUCGGCGUCGUUGGCCGCGGAUCUUUGUCGAGGAUAGGGAUCGUAUACGAACCCUUGAGACCUUGAUUUUUUCCCUCCCACUGUAUAUUUUGAUUUUCUCUCCUUGAUUAUAGCUAUAAGCCUAAUCUAUUUGUGUACUCCACUGUUUCUCCGAUCACCACCCGGAGGUUCUGUUCCGGUGCCCCUCUACGGGUAGAUUUUUAUAAAUGAAUAUAUAUUUAAAA